UGUUUUCUUGAGUCUUUCUUACCCUAAACCCCCAAAUUCUCUUCCUGUCUUCCUCCGUGUUUGGUCUGCAGCUCCGAUGUUGUGGCUUUGCAAGGUUCAAGCUUCAUAAUCGGAAGUCAGUCGUCUGUGUGUUUGUUCUGCUGCUUCAUUGUCGUUGCAGUUUAUGUCUCUGUUCUCGUCUCAUUGACAAAAUUGUCAAGCUUCACUGUCGUUCUCGUUCUCGACUAAGUUCCUAUCUGCUGGUAAUUUGCUCUUUCCCUGUGUCUUUGCGGUGGUUUGCUACUGGUGCUUGUGCCUUCAUGCUUCAACUCCCUCGCUGCUGGAUCUGAAAGAUUGUAGGUUACCGUGAGCAGCUCUGGCAAUUCAAUUGGUGCACUCAUUAACCUCAUGCCAAAUAUGGUCCAAACGCCAAGAUAAUUACAAUCUAGUUUUAGUAAGGACUAAUGCUUGCUCAUAUAUCUAGCCAAACGGUGCUGAAUCCAGAAAUUGCAUGAACCCGCAAGAUGCAUGGAGACUGAUGCUUGCUUGGUUGCAGAGACAAAAUGGACAACCAGUACCAUCACAAAAUUAGUGUAACAUGUGGAUAAUCUAUCUAAUUCCUAUUGAAUUUGCCAAACUUAUGCUUUUCUUCGUGUAGUUGCUUGAAUAAAUAAUCUAGUUCUGGAAAUGCUGUCACCAUUAGUAA